UACGUAGGUGGCAAGCGUUAUCCGGAAUUAUUGGGCGUAAAGAGCGCGCAGGUGGUUAAUUAAGUCUGAUGUGAAAGCCCACGGCUUAACCGUGGAGGGUCAUUGGAAACUGGUUGACUUGAGUGCAGAAGAGGGAAGUGAAAUUCCAUGUGUAGCGGUGAAAUGCGUAGAGAUAUGGAGGAACACCAGUGGCGAAGGCGGCUUCCUGGUCUGCAACUGACACUGAGGCGCGAAAGCGUGGGGAGUAAACAGG
rnacentral:rRNA from 1 species